UACAGAGGGGGCAAGCGUUAUUCGGAAUUAUUGGGCGUAAAGGGCGCGUAGGCGGCUUGGCAAGUGGAAGGUGAAAUCCCUCGGCUUAACCGAGGAACUGCCCUCCAAACUGCUUCGCUUGAGACCGGGAGAGGUGAGUGGAAUUCCCAGUGUAGCGGUGAAAUGCGUAGAUAUUGGGAGGAACACCAGUGGCGAAGGCGGGUCAAUGGACCGGUACUGACGCUGAUGCGCGAAAGCGUGGGGAGCAAACGGG
rnacentral:rRNA from 1 species